AUGUUUGAGCGCUCGGCAAUGCACCACAACGAUGGCAGGGAAGUCGGUAUCGUAUAAGGUGGUUGUCAAAACCGGCGAUAAAAAACGCGCGGGUACGGACGCCAACGUCCGAGUCAUCUUACACGAUGACAAGGGCCAAAAGACGAAAGCAGCCAAGCUGGACAAUUUUCUCCGGGACGAUUUCGAACGUGGUCAGAUAGAUAAAUUCACGGUGAAGGAUGUCGUCGACUUGGACGAGAUUCACCAGAUCGAACUUUGGCGCGAUGAUGCUGGGAUGUACAGCGAUUGGUUCUGUGACUAUGUGGAAGUGACCAUUAACAAAAAGAAGCAGGAUUUUAUUUUUCCGAUAUACCGCUGGAUCCGCCCCGAGUUCCACUAUUUUAUUCAACAUCUAGACACAUUCCUCCCCCAAGAUGACCCCCAUAAGGACCAGCGAGACAUGGAUUUGGAGGACAUACGACUCAAAUACCAGUAUACUCAGAGAGUGCCCGGUUUGCCGUGUCAGGUGAAAGCCAUUCCGGACGACGAGCAGUUUUCUUUUGACUACAAAUGGAAUAUUGCAAAGAGGAAGCUGAAAAUGAUAGCAGACUCAAAGUUACAGCUGCUGACACAGGGCGGCAAGUGGGAGGGGAUCCAGCAUCUGACCAAGGUUUUCACCAACGCCUUCGGAGAACCUCUGGGAUGCAAGCGGUGGAGUAAUGACAUUUUCUUUGGAUGGCAGAGGAUUAAUAGUAUGAACCACUCCCUGAUAAAGCUCUGUACGGAAAUUCCCAAAAAGCAAGCUGGGAGUUAGCGACACGAUGCUGCAGCCCUUUCUGGAGGGAUGGCCGCUUCACCAAGUGAUCGAAGCCAAGCGACUCUUCAUGGUGGACCUGGAAAUCUUACAGGACCUCCCCUGUAAGAGUGACGAUUUUGUGUGCCCAGUGCCCAUUGCUUUAUUUUUCAUCAAUGGCGACGGACGAUUGGUCCCCAUUGCCAUCCAGCUGUUCCAGCAAAAAGCAGACGACAAUCCGGUAUUCCUGCCGACAGACCCACCUUAUACCUGGAUGAUGGCCAAGAUGUGGUACAACCUUGCGGACGCUAGCUACCACCAAUCUCUCACUCACCUCGGAUACACCCACUUAAUUAUGGAGGGAGUCUGUGUGUCAUUUCAUCGCAACCUCUCGCAGUCUCAUCCCCUCUUCAAACUCCUGGCCCCACAUUUCUUAUAUCUCAUCGCCAUUAACACGCGGGGACUAGAGUUGCUUGUAGCUCCUAACGGAUGGGUGGAUAAGACCAUGAAUAUUGGCAUCAAAGGAAUGUUCAAUUUGAUUGCCAGAGGAUUAAAUCGAUGGAGAAUGGAUGUCCAUGGUACGCUUCCCGAAGAUCUCAAGAAAAGAGGAGUUUACUGCCUCAAUGGGAAAAUUUUACCAGGCUAUUUCUUCCGAGAUGAUGCUUUAUUGCUGUAUGAUGCAAUUAAAAAUUACGUCACCAAGUACAUUAACCUUUACUAUGAUUCCCCGGAGAAAAUAGAAAAGGACUGGGAAAUUCAGAACUUUGGUCGCGAGUUAACGUUAUCACGUGAAGAGGGGGGAUGCGGCCUGCUGGGUGUUCCGUUUGACGGCAAAUUCGACAAACCAGAGCAGUUAAUCAUGGUGUUCACAUCCAUCAUCUAUACAUGUAGUGUCGCGCAUGCGUCAACAAAUUUCCCGCAAUACGACGAGUAUGCUUUCCCGCCAAAUUAUCCCGCUUCCAUGAACGGUGUUCCUCCUAAAGACAAGUCCUCCUUGACAGAGGCCGAUAUUCUGUCUACACUCCCAGACAAGAAAACAACGCUUGACGUUAUGACUGUGACUAAAAUUCUCAGCGAUCGCGGUACUAAGAGCCUGGGAGACUUUGAAGUGCAGUACAUUUUUGACCCAGAUGCAAAACGAAUAGUACAAGAGUUCAGGGAAGAAUUGCGAGAAAUUAGCAAGACAAUAAAAAGAAGAAACGAACAUAGAAAUCCCAAGUACGAAUGGCUAGACCCGGAAGUGGUUCCCAAUUCCAUCAGCAUCUAAGCUCUGACUUUUUAAUAAAAUUAAGCUUAUUUAUAGCGAAUUAGUGCAAUAUUAAGAGAUAACAUUGACUAUAAAUAUAUAUGGACUUUAUAUAGUCUUUAUUGAUUAAAAUGUUCAAGGUCUUGCUUUUAUACUGAAUUAAUAUACGUAUAUAUAAAAGUACAUGUAUGUG
rnacentral:misc_RNA from 1 species